rnacentral:rRNA from 1 species
AUACGAAGGGGGCUAGCGUUGUUCGGAUUUACUGGGCGUAAAGCGCACGUAGGCGGAUUGGUCAGUUAGGGGUGAAAUCCCAGAGCUCAACUCUGGAACUGCCUUUAAUACUGCCAGUCUCGAGUCCGGAAGAGGUAAGUGGAACUCCUAGUGUAGAGGUGGAAUUCGUAGAUAUUAGGAAGAACACCAGUGGCGAAGGCGGCUUACUGGUCCGGUACUGACGCUGAGGUGCGAAAGCGUGGGGAGC